UCUGCAUUGACCCAAGAUCAUGUACAAUAUUCA
rnacentral:sRNA from 1 species